rnacentral:rRNA from 1 species
AUGAUUGUACACCUCCUAUGCCCACUUAAUUGUGUGUUCAUUUUGUUAAUCAAAAAGCAUCUGAUUUUAUGGCUGGGUACGCUGAAAAUAUAUAAAACAUUUCUUCUUUUGGAUAAUUUGUUUCCCUUUGACCAAUCUUUGUUACUUGCCUACACAUCUGUGCAUAGCGUAAUGCUCCAGCAUGACCGCUUCGUGUGCUGCCUCGAGUCGCGCGGCCACUACGCUCGCGCCGAGGCGGAGGCAGCUGCCACUCUCGACGCCCUCCGCUGCACGCUCUCGCCGGCGGCAUUCGCAAAGCCUUGUCACCACGCUGCAAGUGUUGCCCCCUCCUCCCCAAGGGCAUGGUGA